AGAUGAUUGGUUUGGAUUUGGGAAGCGCGCCGGGAGAGGGGUCGCCUUGGCAAUUGAUCGCUGCAAAAGUGUACCAGGCGACGGGUUUCUCCACGUGAUUUGGGGCGCCGUCCCCUCCUCCCUUUGGCCGUCUGUGCGCGCGCACUGUGGCGGCACGCAGGCCAAGCGCGAUAAUCCCAUGCCCUCCGUUGCCGACCUCCCCCCCCCGUUCUGAAAUUUUUUCAAAACAGGCACCAUCGACAACGCAUGCGAGCAACACCGCCGAGAUUCCGAAAGAAAAACACAGGCGGCGUACGCGUGGGCGCUUGCGACAACAACCGACAAGACGGAGAACUCUCCGAGCGCAUUCGUCUGGCAUCGCGCGGCCGCUCACGGAUAUGUUCCGCACCAGAAAGAGUCGGUUCUUCUCUUUUUUUUGUUUAUCUGAGAAAGAAAAAAAAAGGGUCACUCUGGCGCGC
rnacentral:lncRNA from 1 species